rnacentral:rRNA from 1 species
UACGAAGGGGGCUAGCGUUGUUCGGAAUUACUGGGCGUAAAGCGCACGUAGGCGGAUUGUUAAGUUAGGGGUGAAAUCCCGGGGCUCAACCCCGGAACUGCCUUUAAUACUGGCAAUCUCGAGUCCGAGAGAGGUGAGUGGAAUUCCGAGUGUAGAGGUGAAAUUCGUAGAUAUUAGGAAGAACACCGGUGGCGAAGGCGGCCCACUGGAUCGGUACUGACGCUGAGGUGCGAAAGCGUGGGGAGCAAACAGG